rnacentral:rRNA from 1 species
CCUUACACAUGCAAGUCGAACGGCAGCGCGGGAGCAAUCCUGGCGGCGAGUGGCGAACGGGUGAGUAAUAUAUCGGAACGUGCCCAGUAGUGGGGGAUAGCCCGGCGAAAGCCGGAUUAAUACCGCAUACGACCUGAGGGUGAAAGCGGGGGAUCGCAAGACCUCGCGCUACUGGAGCGGCCGAUAUCAGAUUAGCUAGUUGGUGGGGUAAAGGCCUACCAAGGCAACGAUCUGUAGUUGGUCUGAGAGGACGACCAGCCACACUGGGACUGAGACACGGCCCAGACUCCUACGGGAGGCAGCAGCGGGGAAUUUUGGACAAUGGGCGCAAGCCUGAUCCAGCAAUGCCGCGUGCAGGAAGAAGGCCUUCGGGUUGUAAACUGCUUUUGUCAGGGAAGAAAUCUUCUGGGCUAAUACCCCGGGAGGAUGACGGUACCUGAAGAAUAAGCACCGGCUAACUACGUGCCAGCAGCCGCGGUAAUACGUAGGGUGCGAGCGUUAAUCGGAAUUACUGGGCGUAAAGCGUGCGCAGGCGGCUUUGCAAGACAGAGGUGAAAUCCCCGGGCUCAACCUGGGAACUGCCUUUGUGACUGCAAGGCUAGAGUACGGCAGAGGGGGAUGGAUUCCGCGUGUAGCAGUGAAAUGCGUAGAUAUGCGGAGGAACACCGAUGGCGAAGGCAAUCCCCUGGGCCUGUA